rnacentral:rRNA from 1 species
UAAAAGUAUCGUUGACAAUAUAGUAAUAACAUCAAACAGUAAUUCAAAGGGGUUAUUAAGGAAAAACUAGCAAAUUUAUAAAAAAGGAGGGCACAAGUCCAAAAGCCACAAUUUACCGAAAAGUGAUCAAGUUUCAUUAGAUUUAUUUAAUGUUGACAAAGAAUGUAGGCGAUCCUAAGGGAAACCUUUAUAUUUAAACUUCCCGAAGUAAAACAUUUCAUUAGGGAAAGGAAAGGAAAUCAACCGAGACUCCGAAAGUAAUGGCGAGUGAAAUCGGACCAGCCUUUAAAUUAAAAAUAAAUUUAACAAAAAUACACACCAGAAACCAAAGAAGGUAAAACAGUCCUGUAUGUUAAAUCUUUUUAAAAUUAAUGUUUAAAUAAAUAUUAUUAAAUUAAAAUUUAUUUAAAUAAUGAGUACGACGAGAGUGAACUUGUCGGAAUAUAGGGGAACCAUCCUCUAAGGCUAAGUAUUUAUAAAUUUAGCGAUAGUGAAAAGUACCGUGAGGGAAAGUUUGAAAUAGUUAUGUAAUUUUAGACAUAAAUGAAAUAGUUGAAUUAGUAACUCUAUAAGCAGUCGAAAUUUAUAAUUAUAAAUGACGGCGUACCUUUUGCAUAAUGGGUCAGCAAGUUAAUAGGAGUAGCAAGGUUCAAAGCCUUAGUGAAAGCGACCACACUAACUAGCUAAAAGUAUUCUUAAUUUCAUAGAUAUUAAGAAUAGGAUAUCCUUCAUAGUUAUAAGGCUAAGAAGUUAAAUAUUUUCUAGGAAUAUAGUGAUGGAUAAGUUACUUCUAUUAGACCCGAAGCUAGGUGAUCUUCCUAAGACCAGAUUAUAAUGGAUCGAACGGGUGAAUGUAGCAAAAUUCUCCGAAGAGUUUUAGGAAGCGGUGAAAUGCCAAUCUGACCUAGUGAUAGCUGGUUUUCUACGAAACAUAUGUAAGUAUGACAUCUAAACAAAAUUUAUGGUGGUACAGCACUGAGUUCCCAACUAUUUCUUUUUUAAAGAAAAGUUUAGGUUGCGGGGACGUCGAAAAUCUUACCAAUGGAAGAGAAUCUCGGAAUGACAUAAAUUGAUGAUAGAUAUUCAGACUGCUCAUGCGAAGUUGGGUAGUCAAGACGGAAACAGCCGAGAACACGAAACAAGGUCCCAAAUGAUUUUUAAGUGAAAUGAAGGAAGUAAUAUAUUGAAUGCAGCUGUAAAGUGAGCCUGGUAGUCGCUAUCUUUUAAUAAACGUAAUGUAACAACGUAGCAGCCUUAUACAAUAGAAUAUUACACCAAAAAUUUAACGGGUCUCAAAAAAUCAACCGAUAUCGUGUUUAUUUUGAAUAAUAAAAAUUAAUAUUCAAUAUAUAGGUAGUAGAACAUUCAGUAUACUGAUGAUAAAACAGUGUUUCAUUGUUUUUAGGUCACUGAAGAGAGAAUGCUGACAUGAGUAACGUAAAAAGAAGUUAUAAUACUUCUCGCCGAAUACGAAAGGGUUGUAAGGAAAGGUUAAACCACCUUAUGUUAAUGCGGCCUCUAAGGAACAAAACCAAAGUUUUGUCUGAUGAGUAUGAAUUAGAAAGUCCAUUUUUUUAAAUAAAAAUUUAUAAAAGGGACCAGGAAAAUAAUAUAUUCUUAACUACCGUACCCUAAACCGACACAGGUUCGUAAGUAGAGUAUACUAAGGCGUAGAGCUAAAAGUUGUUAAGGAACUCGGCAAGUUCUCCUCAUAAGUUUGACAAUAAGAGGAACCCUUUUAAAGGGUGGCACAAAAUCGGAGGCCCCGACUGUUUACUAAAAACACAAUUCAGAGCAAUGAUGAAAAAUCAUAGUAUUCUGGAUGAAAUUUGCCCAAUGCCAUUAACAUAAAAGAGGUUAUGGGUAACUGUAACUGAUUGAAAGUCUGGUUAAUAGCGGUCUUAACUAUGAGGAUCCAAAGGUAGCAAAAUAAAUUGGCCAUUAAAUGUGGUCUGGUAUCAAUAGUGUAACGAUGGUCUCACUGUCUCUACAACUUGCUCAGUGAAAUUGAAUUACCCGUGCAGAUGCGGGUUGCCUCCAGGUGGACGGGAAGACCCUAUGCAGCUUUACUGUAGUUAGCUAUCAUAUUGAUCUACAACAACCUUAGUUAAUAGUGAUUAGGGAUGUCGAAUUGACGAAAGAUGGAAUACCUUCUGACUUUGGUUGGGUUAAUAUUUACCUUUUUAAGUAAAAUAUCAUAUAUGACUCAAAAUUUUCUUUUGUUUAUUCUAUUCAUAUUCUGUUAUAUAGUGUUAUAUGGUAUAAAGCUUAUAAGGGAUAGGUGGCUAAUUGGCAGUUUGACUGGGGCGGUCGUCUUUGAUAAAGUAGCAAAGUACAUCCAAAGAUAUUUAUUUAUUAGAAACAAUCUUUUUAAAAAGAUACUAACUAAAAAAUCAUAGUAUCUAUAUAAACUAUGAAGAAUAUAAUUUAUUAUAUUUUUAUUAACUUAAGGUAUAGCUAGAAAAUUGAAUGGAAAUCAAUCAACCAGUGUGAAAGGUUGUAAUCGGUGUAAUGGCGGAAAGCAUGCCUAACUGAAAGACUUAGAAGUCGAACAGAUACGUAAGUAGGGCAUAGUGACCCUUCGCUAUAUUAUGGAAUAGACGGGGAUCAAUCGAUAAAAGUUACGCUAGGGAUAACAGGCUGAUAGCUGGUGAGAGUACACAUUGUCCCGGCUGUUUGGCACCUUGAAAUAUUUAUAUAUUAUUGUAAACUUUUAAAUAUUUUCAUUAAAAAUUUUAAUCAGUAUCUCAUUAUUUUGUUUGCUUCGAGCAAGAGAUAGUUCUUAAUAAUCAAUAAGAGCCUAAAUUAAUAAUUAAUCGUUAAUGAAUAAACCAAUAUUUGAAUUCUUAGUAGGUAAUCUUCUAGGAGAUGCUUCUAUUAAGAGGACUGUGUCAGGUAAAGCUUAUAUAACCUUUGAACAGUCUGUGAAAAAAUCAGAAUAUUUAAAUUACUUAUAUGAAUUGGUCAAAAAUAACGGUAUACCUUUAAAAAAAGAAUCUCCUACUGUAUACUCUAGAGAUGAUGAUAGAUUUGGAGUAACAAAUAAAUCAUUAUACUUUAGAACUGAGGCACUAGAAGAACUAAAACCUUUAGCAGAUAUGUUCUUGGAUGAAUCCGGGAAAAAAAUAGUGCCUAAAAAUAUUUCUGAGUAUUUAACAGAAAAAGGUUUAGCUCAUUGGAUCAUGGAUGAUGGUCAAAGAGUAAAAAGAGGAGGUGUAACUUUAUGUACUGACAGUUUUAAUUCAGAAGAAGUAACUAUUCUUAGAAGUGCAUUAAACACAAAUUUUAAUUUAAUAACUUCUAUUCAUAAUAAAAAAUCUGGUAGUGGAUCAAUGUAUGAAAGAAUUUAUGUCAAUAAAGAAUCAUUAGAUUUAAUUAAACCAACAUUAAAUACACAUAUACAUGAUUCAAUGCUUUAUAAAAUAAAUUUAGAAAGAAGUCUUAAACAAGAUACCGAAGGUUUUAUCAGUGAUUCUGAUAUAAUUACUGAGAUAGAUAUUUUUGAUAUUUAAGUUUUAAAUUAUAAUAUUGCAAAAUUACAUCGGGGAUUAUAAAUAGAAAUAUUUAUAUAGAAAUUGGCUAUAUGCUGGAACCCCCUGAAGCUUUAAGUACUCAUUUAUUUUAAAUAGUAAAAAGUAAAAAUCUUAAAGAUUGGGCAAUCAGCAGGGAAGUUACUUAUUUAGGUUAUAGCAACUGUAGAAUAUGUAACCCCUCAACGACUACACGCCAACAUCCAGUAGCUACAUAAAGGUAUUCUUAUGCUGGAUGAAGAUAUAGUCUAAUCUUAAUUGAAAGAUUAAGCUCUCAAUCCUAUUAAUAAUAAAGGUAAGAGGGGGUAUAUUAUAAUAUACUAAUAUUGCGAUGUCGACUCAACCUAUCCUCCGGGGGUAGAAGCUUGGAAGGGUUCGGCUGUUCGCCGAUUAAAAGGUUACGCGAGUUGGGUUUAAUACGACGUGAGUCAGUAUGGUCCCUAUCUUCUGGAGGGAUAAAUAGUAAAAAGGGGCAGACCUUCUAGUACGAAAGGAUCAAUAGGCUGUGUUUCUCUAGUGUACCAAUUGU